rnacentral:rRNA from 2 species
CGCAUGCAGGUGGUUUGUUAAGUCAGAUGUGAAAGCCCGGGGCUCAACCUCGGAAUUGCAUUUGAAACUGGCAGACUAGAGUACUGUAGAGGGGGGUAGAAUUUCAGGUGUAGCGGUGAAAUGCGUAGAGAUCUGAAGGAAUACCGGUGGCGAAGGCGGCCCCCUGGACAGAUACUGACACUCAGAUGCGAAAGCGUGGGGAGCAAACAGGAUUAGAUACCCUGGUAGUCCACGCCGUAAACGAUGUCUACUUGGAGGUUGUGGCCUUGAGCCGUGGCUUUCGGAGCUAACGCGUUAAGUAGACCGCCUGGGGAGUACGGUCGCAAGAUUAAAACUCAAAGGAAUUGA